GGCUCGGUAGCUUUAAUUGGUCAGAGCGAUCGCCUGUUAAGCGAGGGGUUACAGGUUCAAGUCCUGUCCGAGCCU
rnacentral:tRNA from 1 species